rnacentral:misc_RNA from 1 species
AUUCAGUGUCAAAAGGUUGGGUAAUGGGUAAUAUUCAGCGGAAAAGUGCCGUUCCAUUUUGCAGAUUUCACAUCAAAAGGCUUAAUUAUCCUGUUCUUGGACUUUCUUGUCCAACAAAAAAGCCAAAAGUCAUAUACCCUAGGAGUGCCACAAUCGAUAGACUUUUUCAAUUCCGGCUCGAUCAUGCGGGUUUCUGGAACAGCUCCAGAAGUUAG